GUAUUCCUGACGGCCGCUAACUGAAACGGUUGCCUGGAGACCGUGUUUUGUUGACGCUCCCAAAAAGUGGUUCUCUGCUUGACGCGUAAAGAAGAGCGAACAUAGACUUGAAGAGCGAACAUAGACUUGAAGAACGAACAUAGACUUGAAGAGCGAACAUAGACUUGAAGAGCGAACAUAGACUUGAAGAGCGAACAUAGACUUGAAGAGUGAACAUAUAGACUAGAAGAGAAACGAAGAAAAGGUUAUAUUCCUGACGGCCGCUAACUGAAACGGUUGCCUGGAGACCGUGUUUUUGUUGACGCUCCCUAAUAGAGCGAACAUAGACUUGAAGAGCGAACAUAGACUUGAA